rnacentral:lncRNA from 1 species
UAUUAUUAACGCUUUGGAAUUUCCUAGAGAUGAAAGACUUUACUGAACACUAAGAUUCUCACUUUCAUCUUCUCUAGAAUCUACAGAUACACCCUGCAGUCGGGGACUUCAUGCUCAACCAGACUCUGGACAUAAUCACCGCUCAUUUCCCAGAAUUCUCAAAUGCCGACUGGAAUGACUGGUUUUGUAUUAAGCUGGUUCCUCUCUUUCCCAGUCUAACUCCAGAGACCUUAAAAAACAUAUUAGUAAACGUCAACUGCACUCUUUACAAAAUAAUUGUUAAAGGACUGAACCUGGGAUUUGAGGAAAUGUCUUUAAGCUUAAGGCAAGAAAUCACCCCUCCUUUGGUGAAUUACCUGAAGCAGACUCAGAAACUCAAAGGUUCAGUCAGACCUUGUGGUCCUAAUAUUUCGCUGGACUGGACUUUGGAAAAUCUUGGCAAUUUCUCCUGG